GGGCUGUAGCUCAGUUGGUAGAGCGCCUGCUUUGCAAGCAGGAUGUCAGGAGUUCGAGUCUCCUCAGCUCCACCAA
rnacentral:tRNA from 1 species